rnacentral:rRNA from 1 species
ACAACUGAGGUGUGAGGGGGCGUGGUGAUACGUGGGGGGGAGCGCGUGGUCGGAAGUGUGUGGGGGAGAGGGCGGGUGGGGUGUCGUGUAAAUCGGAUGUGAAAGCCCACGGAUCACCGGUUGAGGGGACUGGGAAACUGGGGGACUUUAGGGCAGAAGAGGAAAGCUGAAUUCCACGGGUAGCGGUGAAAUGCGUAGGGAUGUGGAGGAACACCAGGGGCGAAGGCGGCUUUCUGGUCUGUAACUGACGCUGAGGCGCGAAAGCGUGGGGAGCAAACAGGAUUAGAUACCCGUGUAGGC